CGAAACCAGGUGAUCUACCCAUGUCCAGGAUGAAGGUAAGGUAAUACUUACUGGAGGUCCGAACCCACGCACGUUGAAAAGUGCGGGGAUGAGGUGUGGGUAGCGGAGAAAUUCCAAUCGAACUUGGAGAUAGCUGGUUCUCUCCGAAAUAGCUUUAGGGCUAGCCUCGAGGUAAAGAGUCAUGGAGGUAGAGCACUGUUUGGACUAGGGGCCCUUCUCGGGUUACCGAAUUCAGAUAAACUCCGAAUGCCAUGUACUUAUACUCGGGAGUCAGACUGCGAGUGAUAAGAUCCGUAGUCGAAAGGGAAACAGCCCAGACCACCAGUUAAGGUCCCCAAAUAUAUGUUAAGUGGAAAAGGAUGUGGGGUUGCUUAGACAACCAGGAUGUUGGCUUAGAAGCAGCCACCAUUGAAAGAGUGCGUAAUAGCUCACUGGUCGAGUGACCCCGCGCCGAAAAUGUACCGGGGCUAAACAUAUUACCGAAACUGUGGAUGAACCUCUUUAGAGGUUCGUGGUAGGAGAGCGUUCUAAGGGCGGUGAAGUCAGACCGGAAGGACUGGUGGAGCGCUUAGAAGUGAGAAUGCCGGUAUGAGUAGCGAAAGAAGGGUGAGAAUCCCUUCCACCGAAUAUCUAAGGUUUCCUGAGGAAGGCUCGUCCGCUCAGGGUUAGUCGGGACCUAAGCCGAGGCCGAUAGGCGUAGGCGAUGGACAACAGGUAGAGAUUCCUGUACCAGUGCUAAUUGUUUAACCGAUGGGGUGACACAGAAGGAUAGGGAAUCGCACGAAUGGAAAUGUGCGUCCAAGCAGUGA
rnacentral:rRNA from 1 species